CCGCCCCAAGCCGCACCGCGGGCACCGCCCUGAGCGCCCGCGCAGGGAUGACUCCCCGAGCUCCACAGGCCUGUCCCAGGGUAAAUCCCAGACCGAGUCCCUCCCCGUCCCUGUCUGAUGGCGCUUCAGCACCACAGCUCCCUCCUCCCUGCCUCCCUCACAGACACCACUCAGCUAGUUUCUGGCUUUGGGCUGGACUAGUGGAGACAGGCACAAGUCAACAGCUCCCAGGCUUGUCUGCUUGUCUCUCGGAGAGACCCGCCGAGCUACCAUCUGCAUUAUUUUGAGACGCGCGCUGGGGUCAUGCCUCCUGGAGCCAUUCUGAAUGAAACAGUCUGAAGUAGAAGUGGCAGCAUGUGCUCUCAUAUUCUACAAUGUCAUCUCUGUUUUAUACACCCCAGAUGUUGCAGCCCUGGGCUUGAGAGCAUUGUGUUCUUCGUUCUCUUUGGCUUGAUUGUCCUUUGCCCUGGGGAGAAGGGAGGGGUGAUAACUGCCUGAAGGGUGGUCAGACUACCCCAUUUUGUAAGCUCUAGCCACAGUGCUAAAGAAAACUUACAGCGUGUUUUUAUCCACCGAGGAAAACA